UUUAGCUGUGAAGUCUCUGAGCCUCCAAGAGAAGUGCUGCAAGGGGGUGCUGGAACUGAGCCACCAUCACAGAGUAACCUGUUUGCAUUAGGCAGGGAAGGCCUUGCACAAAGCAUGGCUGGGAGCUGUGAUGUGGUGACAAAACCAGGCUGCCCAGCGGUGUCUCAGGUACACAGGAGCACAGCAGAGCUGAAACUGCACUUAACACCCUUUUUGUGGAGGAGAUGAUUUUUUAGGUGAUACAGGGACAUUAAUCUACAGUAUAAAUUGGUAGUUAUUGGAUACUAUUGCUCAUUCCACAAAAUUGCAAAUAUACAUUUGAGAAGUUAUAUUCCUGGACAUUUGGAAAUAAGCUGAAACAAAUGGAUACUGGAGCAUGUCUGCAUCAAGAGGAUAUCAAAGCAUGUGCAUAGCAUUAAAAAACUGCUUAUCUAAAACCACUGCCAAUCAUCCUAAAGGACACCUUUAAAACUAAAAUUCUCAAACACUUAAAAUAUAUAAUGAAAACGGCAUACCAUUUGCAGAAUUUCAAUUUCUGCUUGAAGAGUCUCACAGACACUUUCCCAACUAUCAUCUUUGCAUUUUUCCAACUCUUUCUUAAGCCUGUGUC